GGAAAUCACAAUGCUCGUGUCACUGCAUCAACUUCUAAUAGGAGGAAGAAGGAGGACCAAAUGGCUUCUUGACUUGAUCUUGUAAAGGAUGGAGAGCAAUUUCUACAUAGGAUCCAUGGGCGGUCGAGGAUUAAUCUGCUGUUCCAUAUUCCAAAUGCUAUUGUACUGCCCUUCUAGCCUGGGAUCAACAAUUUCUUCAAGAUGCCCUUUGGAGCUCUUUUCUUUCGCCCAGAAGACGAGACAAGUUUUCUAUUCAUCGUUCAAGAAAGGAGUAGGAUACCCUGUGAUAAGCUCAAGAAGGACGACUCCAAAGCUAUACACGUAAAACUAGAUUAGACACGGUAAAUGCACAAGAGUUGGAGGUAACAGAAUCCUUGGAUUUUCAGAUCUGGGAGAGAAAAAAAAAAAAAAACAGAAAGACAGAAUAACUCUGCAUUUUCAAUUGAAUUGUAUCAUGAUGCAAUGUUGGUCGGAAUGGACAUGCAAAAUGGUGGUCAAUA